UGGCUGGUCUCUGCAGGCGGUUGGCGCCGUUGGUCUCGCGAAGUCGAGUCGGUUCUCUUCCCUCCGCACGCUGGCCCGCUCCGCACACUGCAGAGAACGGCCCUCCGGUGAGGGUGGGACAGCACCGCGAAGGCGGUGGGCUCCGGCCCGACCCGGCCCGGCCCGCAAAGGGGCCUUGCACGUGGGUUUCCAGGGAGAGGGCACCGAUCGGCGCGCAGAAGCCCGUCGAAGGCAGGGCUGAGGCCACAGCGGCGUGCGAGGGAGGAAACUGCCAGGACCCCCAGUCGAGGACGUGGGCGGAUGGAGAACGAGCUCGUUUAUCCAUGAAACUGCCACGGGCUGGCCGGGCCUGUGUAUUUUCUAAAUUGGUGGCUGCUUGGAGAACCCAAGGUGGAGUCGAGAGAAUAUGAUAAAGGCUGCUGUUGAGGCUGGGCCGCAGGCAUCUGCUCUGGAGUCUAGCUUCCUUCUGACACAUAAAGGAUGGAUCCAGCACCUUGGAAACAGGCCCGGGAGCUGAAGUCCCAGGACAGGCCAGAACCUGGCCACAUGUGGACCACCUGUCUCUGUCCAUAGGCAAAGACCACCAGGAACAAAGUUGGAUUUACUGAUUUGUUGCAAUGAGGGAGACUGCAUACCUGUCUCUAUGAGUCCAGGGACAUCUCAGUCCAAAGGUGUUACAAAGAACUUACAAUAGAACUUGUGUGAGGUACCGUGGGGGCAGUUUCAAGGAAGCAGGAUCAAUUCUAUGAUCGGGUAUCUCAAUUUUUAUAUAGAACGUGAAACAAAAGCAGCAGAGCUUAAGCUGUGGUUGGUAAAGAGACAGCCUUCACUUGUGUUAGCUUGGGGUGGGGAACGUUGGUUUUUAUGGUUUACAUAGUGGCCAUGAUAUUGUCUGCCCUCAGACAUGACCACGGAAUGGUCCUGUAUUGUCAGACUUUGGGAUCUGUGAGACUGGCUUUGUUCCACAGCAGAACUUCACAGUCUAGCUGUGAGCCCCUGGCUGGUCUGAGCCUGCUGCCAUGGACUGUUUUCUCUUUCUCACUGCAAAGGCAAAGCCUUGACCCUCAACUUGCAACCUUCUCUCCUAGUCUCAUAUCUUCAUGGUGGGAUAGCGAUCAUCCCACUGGAAGAGGAAGAACGGAUGGUUGAGAAUAAGGAGAGAGAUUUGUGGGAGGUAGACUAGGGAGGGAAUAGCAGCUUAGCUUAAAAUAUCCAUAUCUCUGUCACCUGUACAGAUCCAGGGUUCCCUUCCUCUCUCAGGAUAGAAUGGGAUUCCAGAGCCAUGUUGGCAGGGGUGGGGCAGGAAGCAGGGUGGGAGGGAUUAGGAUAUGAUUGCUGAGCAGGUGAUUUCUGAAUUACUGAAAGAAGGUCCCAGUAAAGGGGUGGGGAAGGCAAUAAGAAGUGGUCAUUCUUAGCACAGAUAAUCCUCACUUAGAAAUACAAUCCACUCCCUUAGGAAACCGAGGUAGUGUGAUCAUACAACCCAAUUUUCUGGUACAUCCAGUUAUAAUACCUUUAUUGUAACUAUUCGAUUACCUGGGAUAUAGUUUUGCUACAAACGAUCUGGGUUUAUACAAAUCAAUUUUUGUAGUGAAGGGAAUCCAUUACUUGUCUGAUCCUCUGAGGAACAGACAGCAAAAUGGGAUUAGACAUGCAAGAGGGUUAUUUGGGGAAACACCUGUGAGGAAGCAAGGGUUUGAGGGAGCAGGAACAGGCAGGGGGAGCCUUCUGACCUAUCAGCCCAGCCCUCCUGCUGAAGCAGGGAGGGAGAGGAGGACAGAGGGGAAGAAGCACAGGCCACAGGCUGCAGGGCAGUUCUGAGAAAAUCUUGGCCAGGCCGCUGGGGUCUCCCGAGACUGAACUUCCCCAUUAGAAGAGUCCCCAUCAUUGGGUGGGAACCGUGUGGCACCGGGGACCCCUGCUGUACCCCUGCUGUGCCCCUGCCGUGCUCCUGCCGUGCUCAGUCAUUGCCCAGAGGCGGCCAGGGGGGUGCCUGGCCUCCUGUUCCUUGGGAGGGCGGGGGGUGGCAGUUGAGGCUGUACUGACAGCCUGCUUCUUGCCACUUGCUCUCUUGUCGCCAUCGGAGCCACACCCUGGGGAGGGGGGCACACGAGGCUUCAAUUGGCAGCACCCCCAAGUCAAAAUGGAACCCAGUUUAAAUCCUCCUAGAAGCAGGGGCCAAGAUGGGAUUAGACAGGCAACAGCUUUAUUGAGGGAGAUGCCGUGAGGAUAAAAGGGGGCAAGGGGUGGGGGGGGAAACCUAAGCAAAUGUGACACAACCUGUGCACUACUGGUGAAGGUGAAGAAAUAAACUCACAGAAGAGUGUUUCCUUUAAAACCCUCUGUAAAAAAAAAAAACAAAAAACAAAAAAACAAAACCGUGAAGUCAUGUGUGCUGAAUAUGGGCUUGGGAAAUAUGCUUUUUAAGACCCUGAAUUCAGAGCAUCAGACAAAUAGGAUACAGCUCAACUAUC